rnacentral:lncRNA from 1 species
CGUUCUCCCGCUCCCGUUAAUACUUCCGGUCUCAUCAUUUUUCCAUCAGUCUCUCAUCGAUCAGUCCGUCUGAGACCCGGCAGCUGAAUUAGAGCCGGUUCAGACCAGUGUCCAGCUGCUCUAAUAAGGUGCAGAUUUGAGGCUGUUGGUGUGCGGGAGGCAAAUUGCUUUCUGACACUUUAGUUAAGUUGGUUAUACAGAGUCAUUUAAUGCAGACGGUUUGGGUUGAAUUGCCCUUUGCUGACGGUCUGUGUGUGUUCGUUCUCUCUCACAGACUCGCAUGGAAUCCGCUUAAUGGUGCACUUGGGGAAAACUGUGCAUUUUGAAAGGAACUACAGAGGACUACAGACAGACAGACAGCCGAGAAUCACAGAAAACAUGACGUUAAUAAGCAUCAAUUUGCUAAAUGAUGCUUCUUGUUAUAUGAUGCUGUAUGACAGACACACAAAUUCAGAUAUGUAUUGACAAAAAAUUAUGCACAUAUGGCCAACACAUCUGUUUAAUUAAACUGGCGUAAAAAUAAAAUGGUGCAAAACUACAAACUAAAAGGAAAACUGAAUAAUUGAAUAAAAAAAAUUGCCUCUCGCAGCAGAAAUGCAGCACAACGGGGUUAAGGGUCAGAGGUCAAC